rnacentral:rRNA from 1 species
GAUGAACGCUGGCGGCGUGCCUAAUACAUGCAAGUCGAGCGAACGGACGAGAAGCUUGCUUCUCUGAUGUUAGCGGCGGACGGGUGAGUAAAACGUGGAUAACCUACCUAUAAGACUGGGAUAACUUCGGGAAACCGGAGCUAAUACCGGAUAAUAUUUUGAACCGCAUGGUUCAAAAGUGAAAGACGGUCUUGCUGUCACUUAUAGAUGGAUCCGCGCUGCAUUAGCUAGUUGGUAAGGUAACGGCUUACCAAGGCAACGAUGCAUAGCCGACCUGAGAGGGUGAACGGCCACACUGGAACUGAGACACGGUCCAGACUCCUACGGGAGGCAGCAGUAGGGAAUCUUGCGCGAUGGGCGAAAGCCUGACGGAGCAACGCCGCGUGAGUGAUGAAGGUCUUCGGAUCGUAAAACUCUGUUAUUAGGGAAGAACAUAUGUGUAAGUAACUGUGCACAUCUUGACGGUACCUAAUCAGAAAGCCACGGCUAACUACGUG